GCCCUACUUUUAAAAUGCGAGCUAGGCAAGCUAUUGCCUGGCUCUUAAGUUGAACCAUCCCCUUGAUUGUGAGUAUCAUAUCUGUCCAAUAGUGAUCACGAUAAGUAUAACUAUCUUUGAGAGUUGCAACCUAGCCAGUUUCGGGUGGCACUUCCACCAUAUAUGUGGCCAAUGUGAUCCACCAUGUACGUGGCCAAGAUGAUCAAGUUAGUGCCUGCCGAUCUCAACGACCUCGGAUUAUGCUGAGAUCAAAGGGAAUAUUUUCAAAUCAUUUGCCCCUACUCUUGAGUCUGACUAAUUGUGGAGGUUGCACAAAGGGAGUAGGAGCCACUAACCAGGGCCACCCCAAUGUCUGAGCUGAGCCAUCCGUGAUAAAUACUUUUUAAGAAGGCAUCGCAGUGGCCCAAGGUGCCGCAUGUCACGAUUCCAAUUGUCCAAACAAACCAUCUCAUUGAUUUGAGCCCCUCAUUUUCCCGAUCCAUGACAAUCUGAUUCCACCAAUCUUAAGCUACCAUGCGACAACUAUCAAUGGUGGCUAGAAGAACUAUUGCUUGAACUGACAUGGGGGUUGGCAAGGCCGAAUAUUCACCAAAACAGCUUUUUGUGCUGUGAAGUGAUUUACCUCAUAUCUUGAUCAAAGUAAAGGUCCUUCCUUUCUUGUUAGGAGAUCAGCUCGGAUUUAGCCUAUCUCUCCAAUACGAGCUCCACU
rnacentral:lncRNA from 1 species